AGAUUGAACGCUGGCGGCAGGCUUAACACAUGCAAGUCGAGCGGUAGCAGGUCCUUCGGGAUGCUGACGAGCGGCGGACGGGUGGGUAAUACAUAGGAAACUGCCCAGUAGUGGGGGAUAGCCCGGGGAAACCCGGACUAAUACCGCAUACGCCCUUUGGGGGAAAGCAGGGGAUCUUCGGACCUUGCGCUAUUGGAUGUGCCUAUGUCGGAUUAGCUAGUUGGUGGGUAAAGCCUACAAGGCGACGAUCCGUAGCUGGUCUGAGAGGAUGAUCAGCCACAUCGGGACUGAGACACGGCCCGAACUCCUACGGGAGGCAGCAGUGGGAAUAUUGGACAAGUGGGGGCAACCUGAUCCAGGCCAUGCCGCGUGUGUGAAGAAGGCUUUCGGGUAGUAAGCUACUUUCAGUGAGGAGAACACUUUGACGUAUUAAGUACUCG
rnacentral:rRNA from 1 species